AGCAGUGUGGCUCAGUGGAAAGAGCACGGGCUUGGGAGUCAGAGGUCAUGAGUUCAAAUCCCGUAGCUGCCA
rnacentral:tRNA from 1 species